rnacentral:rRNA from 1 species
AUACGUAGGGGGCGAGCGUUGUCCGGAAUGAUUGGGCGUAAAGGGCGCGUAGGCGGCCCGGUAAGUCUGGAGUGAAAGCCCUGUUUUUAAGAUGGGAAUUGCUUUGGAUACUGUCGGGCUUGAGUGCAGGAGAGGUAAGUGGAAUUCCCAGUGUAGCGGUGAAAUGCGUAGAGAUUGGGAGGAACACCAGUGGCGAAGGCGACUUACUGGACUGUAACUGACGCUGAGGCGCGAAAGUGUGGGGAGCAAACAGGAUUAGAUACCCUGGUAGUCCACGCUGUAAACGAUGAAUACUAGGUGUGGGGGGACUGACCCCCUCCGUGCCGCAGUUAACACAAUAAGUAUUCCACCUGGGGAGUACGUUCGCAAGAAUGAAACUUAAAUGAAUUGACGGGG